GCCGGGUGUGGUGGUGCACACCUGUAGUCCCAGCUACUCAGGAGGCUGAGGCAGGAGAAUUGUUUGAACCUGGGAGGCAGAGGCUGCAGUGAGCUGAGAUCGCACCACUGCACUCCAGCCUGGGUGACAGAGUAAGACUCUGUCUCAA
rnacentral:SRP_RNA from 2 species